rnacentral:rRNA from 1 species
UAAUACGGAGGGUCCGAGCGUUAAUCGGAAUUACUGGGCGUAAAGCGUACGCAGGCGGUUUGUUAAGCGAGAUGUGAAAGCCCCGGGCUCAACCUGGGAACUGCAUUUCGAACUGACAAACUAGAGUUUUGUAGAGGGUGGUAGAAUUUCAGGUGUAGCGGUGAAAUGCGUAGAGAUCUGAAGGAAUACCAGUGGCGAAAGCGGCCACCUGGACAAUAACUGACGCUCAUGUACGAAAGCGUGGGGAGCAAACGGGAUUAGAUACCCCGGUAGUCCACGCCGUAAACGAUGUCAACUAGCCGACUGGCCCCUUGAGGGCUGGGUGGCGCAGCUAACGCAUUAAGUUGACCGCCUGGGGAGUACGGCCGCAAGGUUA